CUGGCGACCGGCGCACGGGUGAGUAACACGUAUCCAACCUGCCCUUUACUCGGGGAUAGCCUUUCGAAAGAAAGAUUAAUACCCGAUAGCAUAAUGAUUCCGCAUGGUUUCAUUAUUAAAGGAUUCCGGUAAAGGAUGGGGAUGCGUUCCAUUAGGUUGUUGGUGAGGUAACGGCCCACCAAGCCUUCGAUGGAUAGGGGUUCUGAGAGGAAGGUCCCCCACAUUGGAACUGAGACACGGUCCAAACUCCUACGGGAGGCAGCAGUGAGGAAUAUUGGUCAAUGGGCGAGAGCCUGAACCAGCCAAGUAGCGUGAAGGAUGACUGCCCUAUGGGUUGUAAACUUCUUUUAUAAAGGAAUAAAGUCGGGUAUGGAUACCCGUUUGCAUGUACUUUAUGAAUAAGGAUCGGCUAACUCCGUGCCAGCAGCCGCGGUAAUACGGAGGAUCCGAGCGUUAUCCGGAUUUAUUGGGUUUAAAGGGAGCGUAGAUGGAUGUUUAAGUCAGUUGUGAAAGUUUGCGGCUCAACCGUAAAAUUGCAGUUGAUACUGGAUAUCUUGAGUGCAGUUGAGGCAGGCGGAAUUCGUGGUGUAGCGGUGAAAUGCUUAGAUAUCACGAAGAACUCCGAUUGCGAAGGCAGC
rnacentral:rRNA from 1 species